UACGGAGGGUGCAAGCGUUAUCCGGAUUCACUGGGCUUAAAGGGUGCGUAGGUGGGGUGGUAAGUCAGGGGUGAAAUCUCCAGGCUUAACUUGGAAACUGCCAUUGAUACUAUCAAUCUUGAAUACCGUGGAGGUCAGCGGAAUAUGUCAUGUAGCGGUGAAAUGCUUAGAUAUGACAUAGAACACCAAUUGCGAAGGCAGCUGGCUACACGAAUAUUGACACUGAUGCACGAAAGCGUGGGGAGCAAACAGG
rnacentral:rRNA from 1 species